ensembl:lncRNA
CACCCUCCCCUCACCCUACCGUUUAAAACCUUUCCCUGAAAACCACUGAGUAAUUCAGGUCUUUUGGGCACUAGCUACAUGAACUUCUCGCCUGGCCUCUGCAGUGCACACGGAACUUUAUUUCAGUGCAACCUGGUGUCAGUAGAUUGCCCUUAUUGCCUACGGGCCAGGGGACCCAAGUUUGAUUCAGUAACAGUAACUGCAUAUUGUAGGACAAAGCAAAUGGGUAAAUUAUAGUGGAAUUACUGAGAAGAUGAUGCUUCAGCAUGAGAGAAAGAUGAAGGACUCUCCAUUCACUGAAAGAGAAACCAAUUCAGUACCAACAGUCCCCUCUAAUAUCAAGAUUGUGGCCUGUUUACAGGAACAUAGCAUCCAUACGUACUCAAAGAGCUGUAAGAACAAAGGAUUACAACACCAAGAAGCUUGCAACAAUGAGCCACAUCCCCUCCCUUUUUAAUAGAAGUCUAAAUUCCAACUUUGAUUACUUAUUCACAGAAAAGUCCCGAAAUGCCAUCACAUCAAGUGCCUAAUGACGUAUUAAUCGCUGAACGCUCACCGCAGUCUUGGCUUCAGACUUUGGUCUCUGCACUGGGAGGGCUGGAGAAGACAGCCUGUCUUAGAUAAAGGCGGAUAAAGCCCCCCAGAGACGGGACUGUCCAGACCCCUGCUUUAUUGAUGAGACUGGGGCGCUGGUCUCGCUGAUUCCAAGCUCAUGAAGAUACGAGAGGACCAGAGAGGACAUGCUAAGUGAAAUUCUUUUUAAACGGUUGCUUUUCCUUCCUUUUGAUGUGACUGUAUCUUAAACCAUGGGAAAAUGAAUUCCACAAACAACUUUCUCAGAGUCCAUUCUUCCCACCAUUGUGGGAUCUUGCGGGGGUAAGCCGUCCGCAGUCUUCUGAACUGGCUGUACAGAAGCAACUGGCACGUGAGCCUAGGAAAUAGAACUCAAAACCGGCUGCAAGCAUGUUGCUCCUUGGCAACUGAAACAGGUCUAAUCUGCUCUGGGGAGAGCCGAACCUCUGCAGUCAUUUGUCUCAUCUGCUGGGCUCCUGCCCCGGUGUUAAUCAGUUCUGCAG